rnacentral:lncRNA from 1 species
UUAGGGUUUAGGGUUUAUGAUUUAGGGUUUAGAGUUUAGGGUUUAGAGUUGAAGGUUUAGGGUUUAGGGUUUGGAUUUGAUAUUUUAGGGUUUAGGGUUAUUUUUUUAUGGUUUAGGGUUUAGAGUUUACUUUUUAGGGUUUAGGGUUUAGUGUUGAUAGUUUAGGGUUUAGAGUUGAAGUUUAGGGUUUAAGGUUUGGAGUUGAUGUUUUAGGGUUUAGAGUUGAAGGUAUAGGGUUUAGGGUUUAGAGUUGAAGGUUUAGGGUUUAGGGUUUAUAGUUGAUGUUUCGGGGUUUAGGGUUUAGAGUUGAUGUUUCAGAGUUUAUGGUUCGUAUUUUAAAAAAAAAAGGUUUAGGAUUGAUGGUUUAGGGUUUUAGGCUAGAGCUUCCAUUGAUGAAAAGAUCAUGUCUUCCUUCCUUAGAUAACCUUUUGUGCUAGAGCUUCCAUUGAUGACAAGAUCAUGUGAGCUAACCGAGAAUGCCACUGACUUGCUCGGUCAACCAAGUUGAAAGAUGCCUCUUCGUUAAUCUCUUUGACUGAACCCUGUAGAUAGUAUAAACCCUGAUCAUAUUUACCGCUCAAAACCUUUCGAUUUCCUUUGUAGAACACCACCUUGAAGCCUUCACCGCUGUACUUACAACCUGUCUGCUCUAACUAUCAAAUUUCUGCUCAUGUCCGGCAUUUACCUGACCUCUCAGAGUGAUUACCUG